UUUCAGGCAUGAUACUGGUGUGAGAUGGAUUCUUUUCUUUCAAGGUAUCAAUGCACUUCUGUUAUGCAUUUCUGUUCAAGGGAAUUCCAGCAUCAUUAGGCGUCAGUGCUGCCGAGCAGUUCUAUGUUAACUCUCUUGCUGUUCCGCGCAAAGCGAAAGAAGCUAUUGGAGGCAGAACCAAGCUUACUUAUGCUGAUGGUAUGUUAUAAAAUGUCUUUUUCCUACCACUUAUACCCGGGGGAUUCAUGUAUUACAGUAUGUUUACUAUUUGUAGAUUAUACUGCUUACGUGUUUUAAAAAAAAUUGUAUAUUAUACUUGGGUGAAACCUAAAUAAUUGUUUUUGGUUUGGGAGGGAAGAUGGGGUUGUUAAAGACAGGAUCAUUACAUGUAUUGUUUUUCUGGAC